GAACCAGCCAAUUGACCUACUUAUCUGAAUGCAUUUCUGUGGACAUUUAGAAAAAAGCUGGUUGAUAUCAUAUUAACAGCCUUAAGAGCAAGUGAGGUCUUUAAGGUCCACAAAAUUGACUAUAAUA